AUAUUGAUUCUUUUUUUUGUGGAUGUUGAUAACACACGUUCUUAAAUCGUUGUUCAAUUUUAUGUCCAACUUUUCGUAUUAUUGUUUUAUAUUGUGGUAUUUGGUUAUUUAUUUAUAGUUACUACCUGAAGGGUAGCAACACAACAGCCAAGAUGCCGCGUAUCAUGAUCAAGGGGGGUGUAUGGCGAAACACCGAGGAUGAAAUACUGAAGGCAGCGGUGAUGAAAUAUGGGAAGAACCAGUGGUCUCGUAUUGCCUCCCUGCUGCACCGCAAGUCUGCCAAACAGUGCAAGGCCCGCUGGUAUGAGUGGCUGGAUCCCAGCAUUAAGAAAACCGAGUGGUCCAGAGAAGAAGAGGAGAAGCUGCUCCAUCUGGCCAAGCUUAUGCCCACCCAGUGGAGGACCAUUGCUCCUAUCAUAGGACGCACCGCUGCCCAGUGUCUGGAGCACUACGAGUUUCUACUAGACAAAGCAGCCCAGAGGGACAAUGAGGAGGAUACAGCUGAUGAUCCCAGGAAACUGAAGCCUGGAGAGAUCGACCCCAACCCUGAAACCAAACCCGCUAGGCCUGACCCUGUGGACAUGGACGAAGAUGAGCUGGAGAUGCUGUCUGAGGCCAGAGCUCGUCUGGCCAACACUCAGGGGAAGAAAGCCAAGAGGAAGGCCAGAGAGAAACAGCUGGAGGAGGCCAGACGACUGGCUGCUCUACAGAAGCGCAGGGAGUUGAGGGCAGCAGGCAUCGACGCUCAGAAGAAGAGGAAGAAGAAGAGAGGAGUGGACUACAAUGCUGAGAUUCCCUUUGAGAAGAAACCUUCUCAGGGUUUCUAUGACACCAGCAUGGAGCUCUAUGAAGGUCUGGAACCAAACUUCAAACGCCUGAGACAACAACACCUGGAUGGAGAGCUACGCAAUGAGAAGGAGGAGAGGGAGAGGAAGAGGGAUAGACAGAAGAUCAAGAAGAAGAAGGAAAGUGAUCUUCCGUCAGCCAUCCUCCAGACCAGCGGAGUAGCGGAGUUCACCAAGAAACGCAGCAAAUUGGUGCUGCCUGCACCACAGAUCUCUGAUGCGGAGCUGGAGGAGGUGGUUAAGCUGGGUCAGGCCAGUGAAGUGGCUCGUCAGACCGCUGAGGAAUCUGGGAUCACUAACUCCGCCUCCUCAGCCUUACUGUCAGAAUACAGUCUUUCCAACAGCGCCAUGACAACUGGGCUACGCACCCCCAAGACCCCUGCCGCGCAGGACAAGAUACUACAGGAGGCCCAGAACCUGAUGGCUCUAACUAACGUAGACACUCCUCUGAAAGGAGGUCUGAACACUCCUCUCCACCAGAGUGACUUCUCUGGAGUCACACCCCAAAGACAGGCAGUACAGACACCGAAUACUGUACUGACCACACCUUUCAGAACCCCGGGUCCAGGGUCUGAGGGCAGUAUGACCCCCCAGGGAGCGUUAACCCCUAAAGGACCGGGUACUGUGACCCCUGGAGUAACCCCUGGGCGCACCCCUCUACGAGACAAACUCAACAUCAAUAGUGAGGAACAACUAGCAGACCCUGCCUACGCUAGACAUCUGCAACGAGAGUCGAGGGAGCAGCUGAAGCUGGGUCUGAUGUCGCUGCCGAUCCCCAAGAACGACUUUGAGAUCGUUCUACCAGAAAAUGCAGAGACUGAACUGGAGGAAAUGGAGACGGAGACGGGAUACAUGGAGGACGCCUCAGAGAUAGAGCUACGCAAUCAGGCUGCCCGGGAUGCAGAGCAGGAGAAAGAGCUGAAGCUGAGACACACUGCUGUACAGAGGAUUCUACCCAGACCAUCAGAGGUGAAUGAGUCUAUCCUGCGUCCGUUGGGAACAGAUCCUCUGUCAGAACUGCAGCAGGCUGAGGAGAUUAUCAAGAAGGAGAUGAUCACUAUGCUGCACUUUGACUGUCUACACCACCCACCAGCCAACCAACAGCGCAGCAAACAACGAGGGCCUGCCUCCACCUCCAACAACGCAGAACACAUCGCUCACCUGGACAGACACCCCUACAAGCCAAUCAGCAAUGAGGAGCUGGCACAUGCCAGUGAGUUGCUGAGCCAGGAGAUGGAGGUGGUGAGGGCAGGUAUGGGUCACGGGGACCUGUCCAUGGAGGCCUACAGCCAGGUGUGGGAGGAGUGUUACGGCCAGGUGCUGUACCUCUCCGCCCAGAGCCGCUACACCAGGGCCAACCUGGCCUCCAAGAAGGACCGCAUAGACUCCCUGGAGAAGAAACUAGAGAUCAACCGAGGCCACAUGACGUGUGAGGCCCGUCGCGCUGCUCGUCUGGAGCGUCGUCUCAAGGUGUUACUAGGAGGGUACCAGUCCCGUGCUGUAGGUCUACUGAAGCAGCAUGGUGAACUGUGGGAGCAGUGAUGUGUGUAGGUGUUACUAGGAGGGUACCAGUCCCGUGCUGUAGGUCUACUGAAGCAGCAUGGUGAACUGUGGGAACAGUGAUAUGUCUGUAUGUGUGUAGGUGUUACUAGGAGGGUACCAGUCCCGUGCUGUAGGUCUACUGAAGCAGCAUGGUGAACUGUGGGAGCAGGUUGAGCAGGCAGCUACGGAGCUCCACACCUUCACUGAGCUGAAGAAACAAGAAGACACAGCGAUACCCCGCAGACAAGAGGCUCUAAGGGAGGAUGUGGAGAGACAGCAGGAGAGAGAAAAGGAGCUUCAGCAGAGAUAUGGAGACUUGCUGCUGGAGAAAGAAGCUCUGCUGUCUGCUAAAUACUAACACACACCCCUACUAGAAACCCCAUAUGCUUUCUAUACACACACAAAUCACAAAAACAUGUUAAGCAAAUGCACACAUACUGGAGAAAGUGUCUGCUCAAACACAGGAUCAUAGCAACCCUCGUCUUACCCUCUAAUUGUGUGUUGAUAGGUAAACAUAUUUACAAGUGAAUGAUCUAUUAGAGCUCUGCCUCUUCAUGUCAUAUUGAUGUCAUGGUCCAGUGCUUAGAGCAUGCCCAGUAGUUGCCUAGUGUUGGUCUUUUCAAAUUAUCAAUACAAAUCUGAUUUCUCCCUAAGACCUGUUUGCUGUAUGUGGUGUUUGUCUGCCCCUAGGAUUUUCUACCUGCAGCAAACCCCAGUAAAAGUGCCUCUCAAAGCAUGGCCUAUGAAAUGUAUAGAGAAACUUGUUCUUAGCAGUGUUGUCAGGGCUAUUGGAUGAGAAUCUGUUUUCCUACAGUUCACAUAAGUGUUGGAAGAUGCUAGCUUUUUUCAUGCAAAUAUUGUGGAAUCAGCAUGAAGAAAAUAUGCACAUUUUUCCCACCAGUGGUGUUUCCUCCAAAUGAACUUGUUGCAGAAUUUUUUUUAAAUAGUGCUUGAUGACACAAUGUACUUUUUUAAAGUUUUCAUGUACAGAAUAAAAAUCUAAAUUUUAAA